rnacentral:lncRNA from 1 species
CAAUGGACAGUAACUUAACAGAUCCUAACAACAAACUAACAAACUCAUCUAACUAAUUCUUAACAGAUAAUUAACAGUAAGUUAAUUUCUAACUGGUUUGAACUAGCAAGAUUUAACAAAGUUAAUCUCUGUUAAAUCCAUCCCCUAUAUAUUCUCGAAUCAUCACUUUCAGAGCAAAAAACUUCUACACAAAACCUUCAUAGAUCAUUG